CCCUAGCCCAGAUAGAAACGGCAUCCUCCGUUUGGGUAAAACAAAGACUUUUUUGACUAUAACUUUUUGCCAAACGGAGAUAUAGUGAAUAGCUGGACACAAG
rnacentral:sRNA from 1 species